CUAUCCUAACUAUAAGAUAAGGCUAGGGACUAAUGAAAGUAUUUAGAAAAUUGGGCAGACUAGAUGGGCUGAAUGGUUCUUAUCUGCUGUCACAUUCUAUGUUUCUAUGUUUCUGUAUCCUGCACAGUAGGUAUCUCAUUUAGAGCUCUGAGGAGUAAUGUAGUGAUUAUAAUAUGAACCUAAUGUAGGGUUUUUUUUCCCAUCUGGAAAUGCAUGUUAUUAAGGGCCAAACUUUGAACCAAUUGACCUUAAUCUUGUUAGCAUUUUUGUCCUGUCAUUUCUAUUGUGUCUUAUCCUUUUCAAUAUGACUGUGGUGAAACAUGCUU